rnacentral:rRNA from 1 species
UGGGGAAUCUUGCGCAAUGGGCGAAAGCCUGACGCAGCGACGCCGCGUGCGGGAAGAAGGCCUUCGGGUUGUAAACCGCUUUCAGGAGGGACGAAGCCACUCGGGUUAAUAGCCCAGAGGGUGACGGUACCUCCAGAAGAAGCCCCGGCUAACUACGUGCCAGCAGCCGCGGUAAUACGUAGGGGGCUAGCGUUGUCCGGAUUUAUUGGGCGUAAAGAGCGCGUAGGCGGCCGAGUAAGUCCGACGUGAAAUCUGGAGGCUCAACCUCCAGCGGUCGUUGGAAACUACUCGGCUAGAGUCCGGAAGAGGAGAGUGGAAUUCCUGGUGUAGCGGUGAAAUGCGCAGAUAUCAGGAAGAACACCGAUGGCGAAAGCAGCUCUCUGCGACGGUACUGACGCUGAGGCGCGAAAGCGUGGGGAGCGGAACAGGAUUAGAUACCCUGGUAGUCCACGCCGUAAACGAUGGGUGCUAGGUGUGGGCGGUGUCGACUCCGCCCGUGCCGAAGCUAACG